GGGGGUGUAACUCAGUGGUACAGUGCUUGCCUAGCAUGCAAAAUUAUUGGUUCCAUCCCCAACACCAGCA
rnacentral:tRNA from 1 species